GGCGGCAAAUCCUUCUUUUGCCUAGGGCAGCAAAAAUCCUUGCACCGGCCCUGUUCCCAUGGCACCAGACAUCUAACUUCUCAACGUGUACAAGCUAUUUUGCAACUCCCUUUACCUGCAACACAUCAGACUCUUCAUGCCUUUUUGGGUCUUAUCACAUACUGCAGGUCCUGGAUACCCGAAGCAUCAAUGCUCAUGCAGCCACUCUAUGAUGCCCUCAGGAGUGAGCCAUUUCAUCUCACUGAAGAAACUAUCACCUGUUUCCACAAUCUAAAAAGAGCUAUUGCUUCUGCACCUGCCUUGGGCCUCCCAAACUACCAGCUUCCUUUCAAUCUGUUUGUCUCUGAAAAGUCAGGACAUGCUUCCAGAGUCCUUACCCAGAAACAUGGCUCAAGACAGCGGCCUAUUGGCUAUUUUUCCUGCAUGCUUGACCCUGUUGCAAGGGGUAGUCCUUCCUGCCUCAGAGCGGUAUUUGCUGCCAGCGCCCUCCUGGACAAGACUAAUGAUUUGUUCUUGGCCACCACCUCACGGUGGUGGCCCCUCAUGACAUUACUGCAAUCCUGCAACAAGUUCAACCUAAGCACCUUUCUUCUCAACGUCACCUCCGUCUACAAACAUCCUUACUUUUACCUGACAAUGUGAAACUUCAGCGUUGUCUUUCCCUGAACCCAGCCACUCUUCUGCCACUUCCCAAGGGGGGAGUUGUGCAUUACUGGUACAGCCUGGACAUCAACCCAGAGGUUCGAGCAGAUUUGCAGUUGCCAGCACUUGCACCCCCACAUGAUGAACAAUCAGAGGCCCUACUUCACUGCACCUUAUGGUUUAAGGACAUACCAGGCCCUGAUAUGAACUAUGAGGAAGAAUUAUUCCAGCUCAAGGAAAUUCAAAUUACCCUGACUGACUUAUUCUGGGACCCCACAGGUACCAUGCUCAUCUUAGUCCAUCUUCCAGAGAAUGUGACACAUCUCUAUCAUCAUUGGGAAACAGCUAUCCCACACAUAGCUCUCACCAGAUCCCCUGACACCUCAUGGAAAGACCUAGGCCCGAUGGCCAAGACCUGGAGUCAAAUGAACCAAGAACAACUGACUUCUACGGGGAUCAACAAAAAGACUAUUAAUUACUGUACAGCAGGGUACCCAAGGUACCACACAGAAGCCCGAGAAGACCCACUCAUCAUAGACUGUGACCUAGAUAUUCCUCAUGAUUGUUUUGAACAAAUGAAAAUGGAAACUACACACCUACCAACUGUCUAUGAAGCUGCAUUACUCAACCCGGACCAAACACUAUUUGUGGAUGGGUCAAGAUUUGCUGAUGAACAGGGACAAUAUCACACUGGGUAUGCAGUCACCACAGGAUGUCAAGUAUUACAAGCAGCUGCCCUACAACCAACUAAGUCUGCUCAAGAAGCCGAGCUAACAGCCCUGACUGUGGCCUGCAAAUUGUCUGAAGGUCUACGUGUGAAUAUCUACACAGAUUCAAGAUAUGCCCUGGGAGUAGCACAUGACUUUGGUCUAAUUUGGAAAACCAGAGGAUUUCUUACGGCUACCGGUACCCCAGUAAAACAUGGGGCAGCCAUUGCAAAACUGAUGGAUGCUUUAGAACUUCCAGCAGAGGUGGCAGUAUUAAAAGUAAAAGCCCAUGGAAGACUAGACACAGAAGAAGCAGGGGGCAACCACUUAGCUGAUCAGGCAGCUAAGGAAGCAGCACGGCAAGGAUGGGAAGUGGACAGAAGAGUGGCCACAGAUACAGUACCCAUCUACACUAUGCAAACAUUGCCUACAGAUCUUAGGCUUCUGAAGGAACAACAAGCUGCUGCUACUCCCCAGGAGAAACAAAGUUGGAAGAACAAAGGAGCUGUACUCCGUGAUGAUGUUUACACCAUGAAUCUCAGGUUUUGCUUACCCAGAAGUAUGUAUUCAGCGGUGGUCCAAUGGGCCCAUGGGCCAGCCCACCUGUCGAAACAUCUGAUGAACUCACUGAUUGACAAGUAUUUUGAAGCACCAGGUAUCACUACCGUAACACAGAAUUACUGUAAAUCAUGUACUAUAUGUGCUAAAUGCAAUCCUGGAAAGAUUAUAAAGACUGCACCUAAUCACCUAGCCAAGCCACAAUACCCCUUUCAGAGGAUCCAGAUUGACCAUAUACAAAUGCCAAAGAGUGGACGUUAUGAAUAUGCACUGGUCAUAGUGGUCAUGUUUUCAGGAUGGCCAGAGGCCUUCCCAGUGACUAAUCUCACCGCGAGAACUACAGCCAAGUACCUUUUGACGGAAAUUGUUUGCCGAUAUGGAGUUCCAGAAGUGAUUGAAAGUGACCAAGGGACCUCCUUUACUGCCUCGUUAACACGGGAAGUCUGGUCAGCACACAUUAUAUCAUUCCACACAUUAUAUCACCCACAGAGUAGUGGUAAGGUAGAGCGCAUGAAUGGCACUUUGAAAGCCAGAAUGCUUAAAAUGUCACAAGAAACUAACAUGCCCUGGCCCGGGAGUCUCCCACUAGCAUUGUUUAGUGUAAGGUACACUCCUAGGGGAAAAUAUAGCCUAUCACCUUAUGAGAUUUUGUUUGGUACAGCACCCAGGUUAGGUUGUUACUUUCCCCAACAGCUUCAGAUUCAGUCAGAUGCUAUGGUAGACUAUGUGACUGCCCUCUCACAUGCCUUGACCAAAAUACAUGCCCAAGUGUUUUCUUCUAUUCCAGAUCCUGAGUCGAAUACAGGUACACACAAGCUGCUUCCUGGUGAUUGGGUUAUGGUCAAGAAGUUUCUCAGGAAACACACCCUAGAACCAAGAUUUGAUGGUCCUUAUCAAGUGCUCCUGAUUACAGCAACGUCAGUUAAACUAGCCGGGAAGAGUUCUUGGAUACACGCCUCACAUUGCAAAAAAGUGCCUGCUCCAGCAGGCACUAAUCCUGCUGAAAUAUGAAUUUAUUAUGGGUCUUGUGUUUUCUUAUGCUGCUACACUUUGCCUGGGCCCAACAAGUGGCCAUAACCAAAGAUAAUCAUGUUUACACUUUCUGGUACAAUUCUUCUAACACAGAUGUAGCUACGUACACCUUUGAUUACUGUGACAUAGUUGCUUGCACAUUUCCACAAACACAAUAUGCAGCCAUAUACAAAGACAUACCUAACAAAAAGGAUCCAUACAUUUGUGUGACUGGAGGAGUUUGGGGACACCAUUGUAGUUCAUGGAAAGCUGCCGGGUGGAACACGGGUAGACCAUGGGGCUACAGAACCCAGAUUGCACUGGACAGACUUGACAAAGACGGGAAGCCCCUACUUUCUAGAAUGACCCUGAGUAAACCCACAGGGUCAACUCCCAUUAAACUUACCUUGAACAUAGAGCACCCCAGCCCAAAGGAUGCAGGGGAAUAUGUAAUGGGAAUAUACUGGAAGGGAGGUGGCUCACAUAACACACUGGGGACAUUUUACCUACAAGACAUGCUCACCUCACCAGACUGGGUAGGGACCACACACAUGAUCAUUAACCCGUUAAAACCACAUAUUAAGACCCUACAUGACAUGGUAGCUAUAGCCAACCCCACCUUUGAAGACACUAUGGCAGUGGCUAAUUUGUGGCUAGAAUGGAUGAGGUAUAAUGCCAACUCACAUAAUAAGACUAACUGCUAUGUAUGUGGAGGAGCCAGGCCCCAUCUGGGCACGGUACCCCUAAGUUUACCUCCUGAAAUAGAACUAUGUGUCUUAAGCCUCUAUGCACAGUCCACCACAAAUUCCUCAACAUGUGAAUCGUGGAAGAGAGUUUACCCAAUCACUCAUGGACAUGUCAAGCCACCUGAUGGAGUCACAGUCUAUCCAGGUAAUUACACAUGCUAUUCAAUACCUAAGAACACUGGUGUAUAUCUGGGCAAAUUCCCAUCAGGAUACUGCUCAACUUACCAUAGUCCACCUGUAUCACUGUUAAUGAAUCAUACAAAGACAAUCGGUGAUAUCUAUUGGUUAUGUGGUGACAAACAAUUGAGGUCCCAACUAGCUGGGCAAUGGUGGGGGGAGUGUGCCCUAACCAAAGUUAUAAUGCCUAUCCACAUUAUUCCAGAUGGUAGUCAUAACACAUUAAACCUUACACAUGUACAUUCUAGAACCAAACGAGAGGCUCCCAUCCGAGGGAGCUUCGACCCCCAUGUGUAUAUUGAUGCCAUAGGUGUGCCAAGGGGGGUGCCUAACGAAUUCAAGGCAAGGGAUGAAGUGGCAGCAGGAUUUGAAUCCUUAAUUCCAAUGAUAACUGCCAAUAAGAAUGUCAAUUGGAUCAAUUACAUCUAUUAGAAUCAGCAGCGCUUUGUUAAUUACACAUGGGAUGCCCUACAGGGCCUGGCGGAGCAAUUACAAGCCACUACCCAAAUGACAUUUCAGAACAGAAUAUCCCUAGAUAUGAUUUUAGCUGAGAAAGGGGGUGUAUGUAAAAUCCUCCCUGAGACUAUGACAUGCUGCACAUACAUUCCAGACAACACUGGGCCCAAUGGUAAGGUGACUAUGGCCAUAGAGAAGCUAGAUAGUCUUUCUGACGAGCUAAAGAAGAAUUCAGGAGUCACUGACACUUGGGACAGAUGGUUUGGGUGGAUGAAUGGUUGGCAAAGGACCCUCUUCCAGGUAGGAACAGCUGUUCUUAUAAUGAUUAUCAUCUUCUUAUUCUUAACCUGUUGUGUGCUCCCUUGCAUACAGAAGUAUUUACAGAAAGCAGUAGGGAAGACUAUAGAUGACGUUACCCCUACUUUCCUACAUCAAGACAUCACAGACCUCGAAGAUGACACCCCACAUACACCCCUUCAAUCACAUCAGUUUAAACAGACAACUGCAUUUCUGUAGGGACAGUGUAGGGAAAGCGUCUGUCUUUACGGGCAAGUCUCACGUGCGGAGAUGUGGUGGACUAGCUACUGCGGGUUACCCACGGAGUGAAGAGUUCGAUGCUUGUGAAGACAGAUGAGCUGCAGGCAGCUAGGGAUACACUAGGGACAGUAGCAAGUUGUCAUAGUAAAUAGCCAUUUUAGGGGGGACUGUUGUGGAAAUAAGGUCUGCACAUAUUUCCUAGUUAAUGAAAAUGUCUAUUUACUCAUUUCACUAUAUAAGCUAUGCACACAUGUUUUAAUCAAGAUGGCUGCUAGAAGCUUCUAACCCCUCCUUUCCUCCCCCCCUCCCUUUAACACCAACUAACUACCUCGUGCAGCAAGAUGGCGCUGGGAAACCGUGGGAGACCCUCAUGGCCCUGGUGACAUCACCCCCAGUAGGUAGAGCAUUAGAAUGACCACUUAACACCUAACCAAUUAUUGAUGUAUUAUUCCAUGUUAUCUCUGACAAUGCUUAUGAUGUAACUUUGCUUUAAAAGGGACCUGCCGUCCCCUCUGAAUAAACUUUCCUCAAGUUAUUCAACAACCUAGAA